rnacentral:rRNA from 1 species
GGGUUGUGAGGUUAAGCGACUAAGCGUACACGGUGGAUGCCCUGGCAGUCAGAGGCGAUGAAGGACGUGCUAAUCUGCGAUAAGCGUCGGUAAGGUGAUAUGAACCGUUAUAACCGGCGAUUUCCGAAUGGGGAAACCCAGUGUGUUUCGACACACUAUCAUUAACUGAAUCCAUAGGUUAAUGAGGCGAACCGGGGGAACUGAAACAUCUAAGUACCCCGAGGAAAAGAAAUCAACCGAGAUUCCCCCAGUAGCGGCGAGCGAACGGGGAGCAGCCCAGAGCCUGAAUCAGUGUGUGUGUUAGUGGAAGCGUCUGGAAAGGCGCGCGAUACAGGGUGACAGCCCCGUACACAAAAAUGCACAUGCUGUGAGCUCGAUGAGUAGGGCGGGACACGUGGUAUCCUGUCUGAAUAUGGGGGGACCAUCCUCCAAGGCUAAAUACUCCUGACUGACCGAUAGUGAACCAGUACCGUGAGGGAAAGGCGAAAAGAACCCCGGCGAGGGGAGUGAAAAAGAACCUGAAACCGUGUACGUACAAGCAGUGGGAGCACGCUUAGGCGUGUGACUGCGUACCUUUUGUAUAAUGGGUCAGCGACUUAUAUUCUGUAGCAAGGUUAACCGAAUAGGGGAGCCGAAGGGAAACCGAGUCUUAACUGGGCGUUAAGUUGCAGGGUAUAGACCCGAAACCCGGUGAUCUAGCCAUGGGCAGGUUGAAGGUUGGGUAACACUAACUGGAGGACCGAACCGACUAAUGUUGAAAAAUUAGCGGAUGACUUGUGGCUGGGGGUGAAAGGCCAAUCAAACCGGGAGAUAGCUGGUUCUCCCCGAAAGCUAUUUAGGUAGCGCCUCGUGAAUUCAUCUCCGGGGGUAGAGCACUGUUUCGGCAAGGGGGUCAUCCCGACUUACCAACCCGAUGCAAACUGCGAAUACCGGAGAAUGUUAUCACGGGAGACACACGGCGGGUGCUAACGUCCGUCGUGAAGAGGGAAACAACCCAGACCGCCAGCUAAGGUCCCAAAGUCAUGGUUAAGUGGGAAACGAUGUGGGAAGGCCCAGACAGCCAGGAUGUUGGCUUAGAAGCAGCCAUCAUUUAAAGAAAGCGUAAUAGCUCACUGGUCGAGUCGGCCUGCGCGGAAGAUGUAACGGGGCUAAACCAUGCACCGAAGCUGCGGCAGCGACACUGUGUGUUGUUGGGUAGGGGAGCGUUCUGUAAGCCUGUGAAGGUGURCUGUGAGGYAUGCUGGAGGUAUCAGAAGUGCGAAUGCUGACAUAAGUAACGAUAAAGCGGGUGAAAAGCCCGCUCGCCGGAAGACCAAGGGUUCCUGUCCAACGUUAAUCGGGGCAGGGUGAGUCGACCCCUAAGGCGAGGCCGAAAGGCGUAGUCGAUGGGAAACAGGUUAAUAUUCCUGUACUUGGUGUUACUGCGAAGGGGGGACGGAGAAGGCUAUGUUGGCCGGGCGACGGUUGUCCCGGUUUAAGCGUGUAGGCUGGUUUUCCAGGCAAAUCCGGAAAAUCAAGGCUGAGGCGUGAUGACGAGGCACUACGGUGCUGAAGCAACAAAUGCCCUGCUUCCAGGAAAAGCCUCUAAGCAUCAGGUAACAUCAAAUCGUACCCCAAACCGACACAGGUGGUCAGGUAGAGAAUACCAAGGCGCUUGAGAGAACUCGGGUGAAGGAACUAGGCAAAAUGGUGCCGUAACUUCGGGAGAAGGCACGCUGAUAYGUAGGUGAAGUCCCUCGCGGAUGGAGCUGAAAUCAGUCGAAGAUACCAGCUGGCUGCAACUGUUUAUUAAAAACACAGCACUGUGCAAACACGAAAGUGGACGUAUACGGUGUGACGCCUGCCCGGUGCCGGAAGGUUAAUUGAUGGGGUCAGCGCAAGCGAAGCUCUUGAUCGAAGCCCCGGUAAACGGCGGCCGUAACUAUAACGGUCCUAAGGUAGCGAAAUUCCUUGUCGGGUAAGUUCCGACCUGCACGAAUGGCGUAAUGAUGGCCAGGCUGUCUCCACCCGAGACUCAGUGAAAUUGAACUCGCUGUGAAGAUGCAGUGUACCCGCGGCAAGACGGAAAGACCCCGUGAACCUUUACUAUAGCUUGACACUGAACAUUGAGCCUUGAUGUGUAGGAUAGGUGGGAGGCUUWGAAGUGUGGACGCCAGUCUGCAUGGAGCCGACCUUGAAAUACCACCCUUUAAUGUUUGAUGUUCUAACGUUGACCCGURAUCCGGGUUGCGGACAGUGUCUGGUGGGUAGUUUGACUGGGGCGGUCUCCUCCUAAAGAGUAACGGAGGAGCACGAAGGUUGGCUAAUCCUGGUCGGACAUCAGGAGGUUAGUGCAAUGGCAUAAGCCAGCUUGACUGCGAGCGUGACGGCGCGAGCAGGUGCGAAAGCAGGUCAUAGUGAUCCGGUGGUUCUGAAUGGAAGGGCCAUCGCUCAACGGAUAAAAGGUACUCCGGGGAUAACAGGCUGAUACCGCCCAAGAGUUCAUAUCGACGGCGGUGUUUGGCACCUCGAUGUCGGCUCAUCACAUCCUGGGGCUGAAGUAGGUCCCAAGGGUAUGGCUGUUCGCCAUUUAAAGUGGUACGCGAGCUGGGUUUAGAACGUCGUGAGACAGUUCGGUCCCUAUCUGCCGUGGGCGCUGGAGAACUGAGGGGGGCUGCUCCUAGUACGAGAGGACCGGAGUGGACGCAUCACUGGUGUUCGGGUUGUCAUGCCAAUGGCACUGCCCGGUAGCUAAAUGCGGAAGAGAUAAGUGCUGAAAGCAUCUAAGCACGAAACUUGCCCCGAGAUGAGUUCUCCCUGACUCCUUGAGAGUCCUGAAGGAACGUUGAAGACGACGACGUUGAUAGGCCGGGUGUGUAAGCGCAGCGAUGCGUUGAGCUAACCGGUACUAAUGAACCGUGAGGCUUAACCUUACAACGCCGAAGAUCCUUGAGAGUCCUGAAGGAACGUUGAAGACGACGACGUUGAUAGGCCGGGUGUGUAAGCGCAGCGAUGCGUUGAGCUAACCGGUACUAAUGAACCGUGAGGCUUAACCUUACAACGCCGAAGGUGUUU